rnacentral:rRNA from 1 species
GGGGGUUCUGCUCACUAACGGCGAGUGAAGCGGGAAGAGCUCAAAUUUGAAAGCUGGCGCCUUCGGUGUCCGCAUUGUAAUCUAGAGAGGUGUUUUCCGCGCCGGACCGCGUACAAGUUCCUUGGAACAGGACGUCAUAGAGGGUGAGAAUCCCGUACUUGACGCGGAUGCCCGGUGCUUUGUGAUACACCCUCCACGAGUCGAGUUGUUUGGGAAUGCAGCUCAAAAUGGGUGGUAAAUUCCAUCUAAAGCUAAAUAUUGGGGAGAGACCGAUAGCGAACAAGUACCGUGAGGGAAAGAUGAAAAGCACUUUGGAAAGAGAGUUAAACAGUACGUGAAAUUGUCGAAAGGGAAGCGCUUGAAGUCAGACAUGCUUGCUAGGACUCAGCCUUGCUUUUGCUUGGUGCAUUUCCUGGUGAGCAGGCCAGCAUCGGUUUUGUCCGCCGGAUAAGGGUAGGAGGAACGUGGCACCUCCGGGUGUGUUAUAGCCUCCUACUGGAUACGGCGGAUGGGACCGAGGAACGCAGUGUGCCCUUGUGGCGGGCCUUCGGGUACCUUCGCACUUAGGAUGCUGGCGUAAUGGCUUUAAGCGACCCGUCUUGAAACACGGACCAAGGAGUCUAACAUAUUUGCGAGUAUUUGGGUGGCAAACCCGGAUGCGCAAUGAAAGUGAAUGCAGGUGGGAUCCGCAAGGAGCACCAUCGACCGAUCCGGAUUUUCUAUGAUGGAUUUGAGUAAGAGCACAUAUGUUGGGACCCGAAAGAUGGUGAACUAUGCCUGAAUAGGGCGAAGCCAGAGGAAACUCUGGUGGAGGCUCGUAGCGAUUCUGACGUGCAAAUCGAUCGUCAAAUUUGGGUAUAGGGGCGAAAGACUAAUCGAACCAUCUAGUAGCUGGUUCCUGCCGAU